rnacentral:tRNA from 1 species
GCCCGGCAGGCUCAGUCGGAAGAGCACGUGACUCUUGAUCUUGGGGUUGUGAGUUUGAGCCCCACGUUGGGUG